rnacentral:rRNA from 1 species
CGUGUAGCCGGGGAGACAAGUCAGAUGUGAAAUCUGGAGGCUCAACCUCCAAACUGCAUUUGAAACUGUUUCUCUUGAGUAUCGGAGAGGUAAUCGGAAUUCCUAGUGUAGCGGUGAAAUGCGUAGAUAUUAGGAGGAACACCAGUGGCGAAGGCGGAUUACUGGACGACAACUGACGGUGAGGCGCGAAAGCGUGGGGAGCAAACA